GAUGAAUGCUGGCGGCGUGCCUAACACAUGCAAGUCGAGCGGCAGCGCGAGGAGUUUACUCCUUGGCGGCGAGCGGCGGACGGCUGAGUAACGCGUAGGAACGUGCCCCAAAGUGAGGAAUAACUGCCCGAAAGGGUAGCUAAUGCCACAUAUGAUCUUCGGAUUAAAGUAUUUAUACGCUUUGGGAGCGGCCUGCGUUAGAUUAGGUAGUUGGUAGGGUAAUGGCCUACCAAGCCGACGAUCUAUAGCUGGUCUGAGAGGAUGAUCAGCCAGACUGGGACUGAGACACGGCCCAGACUCCUACGGGAGGCAGCAGUGAGGAAUCUUCCACAAUGGGCGAAAGCCUGAUGGAGCAACGCCGCGUGAAGGAUGAAGGCCCUCGGGUCGUAAACUUCUUUUAUAAGUGAAGAAUUUGACGGUACCUAAUGAAUAAGCACCGGCUAACUCCGUGCCAGCCGCCGCAGUAA
rnacentral:rRNA from 1 species